rnacentral:rRNA from 1 species
GAUGAACGCUGGCGGCGUGCUUAACACAUGCAAGUCGAACGGAAAGGCUCCUGCUUGCAGGGGUACUCGAGUGGCGAACGGGUGAGUAACACGUGGGUGAUCUGCCCUGCACUUCGGGAUAAGCCUGGGAAACUGGGUCUAAUACCGGAUAGGACGAUGGUUUGGAUGCCAUUGUGGAAAGUUUUUCGGUGUGGGAUGAGCUCGCGGCCUAUCAGCUUGUUGGUGGGGUAAUGGCCUACCAAGGCGUCGACGGGUAGCCGGCCUGAGAGGGUGUACGGCCACAUUGGGACUGAGAUACGGCCCAGACUCCUACGGGAGGCAGCAGUGGGGAAUAUUGCACAAUGGGCGCAAGCCUGAUGCAGCGACGCCGCGUGGGGGAUGACGGCCUUCGGGUUGUAAACUCCUUUCGCUAGGGACGAAGCGCAAGUGACGGUACCUAGAGAAGAAGCACCGGCUAACUACGUG